rnacentral:rRNA from 1 species
GAUGAACGCUGGCGGCGUGCUUAACACAUGCAAGUCGAACGGGCCGGUUUUCGGAUCGGCCAGUGGCGGACGGGUGCGUAACACGUAGGUGACCUGCCCUGGAGUGGGGAAUAAUUCCGCGAAAGCGGGACUAAUACCGCAUGUGGUCGUCGAUUCGGUUGGGCGAUGAAAGCCGGAAGGCGCUCCAGGAUGGGCCUGCGGCGGAUUAGCUAGUUGGUGGGGUAAGGGCCUACCAAGGCGAUGAUCCGUAGGGGGCGUGAGAGCGUGGCCCCCCACAUUGGCACUGAGACACGGGCCAAACUCCUACGGGAGGCAGCAGUGAGGAAUAUUGCACAAUGGGGGCAACCCUGAUGCAGCAACGCCGCGUGGGGGACGAAGGCCUUCGGGUCGUAAACCUCUUUUCUGAGGGAAGAGACGAGGACGGUACCUCAGGAAUAAGUCUCGGCUAACUACGUGCCAGCAGCCGCGGUAAAACGUAGGAGGCGAGCGUUAUCCGGAUUUACUGGGCGUAAAGCGCGCGCAGGCGGCUCGGCAAGUUGGACGUGAAAGCUCCCGGCUUAACUGGGAGAGGCCGUUCGAAACUACCGGGCUUGAGGUUGGGAGAGGGGUGUGGAAUUCCCGGUGUAGUGGUGGAAUGCGUAGAUAUCGGGAGGAACACCAGUGGCGAAGGCGGCACCCUGGCCCACACCUGACGCUGAGGUGCGAAAGCGUGGGGAGUAAACAGGAUUAGAUACCCUGGUAAUCCACGCCGUAAACGAUGUCAACUAGGUGUCGGUAGUGUUACACUAUCGGUGCCGUAGCUAACGCGUUAAGUUGACCGCCUGGGGACUACGGCCGCAAGGCUAA